rnacentral:rRNA from 1 species
AAAUAUUAUUAUCCACCCUGAACACACCCGAUUUCGUCUGAUCUUGGAAGCUAAGCAGGGUCGGGCCUGGUUAGUACUUGGAUGGGAGACCACCUAGGAAUACCAGGUACUGUAGGCA